UACGAAGGGGGCUAGCGUUGCUCGGAAUCACUGGGCGUAAAGGGUGCGUAGGCGGGUCUUUAAGUCAGGGGUGAAAUCCUGGAGCUCAACUCCAGAACUGCCUUUUGAUACUGAGGAUCUUUGAGUUCGGGGAGAGGUGAGUGGAACUGCGAGUGUAGAGGUGAAAUUCGUAGAUAUUUCGCAAGAACACCAGUGGCGAAAGGCGGCUCACUGG
rnacentral:rRNA from 1 species